rnacentral:rRNA from 1 species
UGGGGAAUAUUGGGCAAUGGAGGCAACUCUGACCCAGCCAUGCCGCGUGGGUGACGAAGGUCUUCGGAUUGUAAAGCCCUUUCGGCGGGGACGAUGAUGACGGUACCCGCAGAAGAAGCCCCGGCUAACUUCGUGCCAGCAGCCGCGGUAAUACGAAGGGGGCUAGCGUUGUUCGGAAUUACUGGGCGUAAAGGGCGUGUAGGCGGCCCGCUAAGUCAGGUGUGAAAUUCCUGGGCUCAACCCAGGACGUGCACUUGAGACUGACGGGCUUGAGUCCGGGAGAGGAUGGUGCAACUCCCAGUGUCGAGGUGAAAUUCGUAGAUAUUGGGAAGAACACCCGUGGCGAAGGCGGCCAUCUGGACCGGUACUGACGCUAAGGCGCGACAGCGUGGGGAGCAAACA